ensembl:lncRNA
AGUCACUGUGUUUUCCCAGUGUGGGGUCACCCAUAUUCACAAUGGAUUCAGCUUCCUGAAGUAGGGCCUCAAAAAAACUUCCCUCUUCACUUUGCUGAUAUCUGAAUGCCAUAAUAUUGAACUUUAUUCCUUUUGACUUGAGCAUCAACUCUGGCACUUGUUAAAAAUAUUUCUGGAAGGGAACAUGUAUUUAGCCUAUCAGUCACUUACAUCUUGGUAUAAAUGAGGUUACUGACUCUUCCCUCAGGAAGUCUGAUGGAGGGGAUGGUGGUGGGGAAGUGGAGGUAGUGGUUGAAUGUCCAUCUGAGCCAGACAGCCUGGGUUCAGAGCACACUCUGCAGGUCCCUGAACCUCCCAGUCUGCUUUCUUGUAUAUAAAUUGGCACCAAAAACACCUGCCUCUUUAGGCUGAGGUUUUAUGAAAAGUAGUAGUAGAAUCAUAAGAGAACAAAAUGAAGACACUAGAAGCUUGGCAAAAUGCAGCUACUCACCUCAGGGGAAAUUCACUCUGCAAAGAAGAUAAAAUCUUUCUUAAUGGCAUAGUUUGUCCUGUUGAUCCCAGACUCCUUCCCUUUUCCUGUGGGUGCUAAGGAUCCUGCACAAGGAGGAAGGGUGAGGUAGGAGGAAAGGGCCAAGAGCCAAGGACCUAGAAAAUAACCCAAAACAUCCUCCGCAGGCUGCAGGCACUGGUCAUCAACUGCCAAAUGUACCUGGGGUCAACCUGGAAGUUCAAGGUGAUCACGGUAUGCAAACCAUCAAGGCUUCAACGUCCCACAAGGGUCAUCACUGGCUGGCAGUCUCUGAGGGGAUGGAGCUAAGGAUAUGGAGCAGAAGUUCAGUGCUAAUGAAAAAGGAAAGAUUUGCCAGGAGCCGAUUUGACCGGAAUGAUAUGGCAAGAGAAAAAAAUGCCACCAAGUUUUAACAGGGACAUGACAUAAGGUCAAGAUUUUGAACACCAUUUUGAGAACCACUGUGGCUUCAUUAUUGAGUCCCAUGAACUCUCUCACAAGCUCAGGGCUGGGUGGAUAAGGACUGGAGGGAAAAAUCUGCUUUUCCAGGAAUGGACCAAUAUGGAUUAUCUGGUG